rnacentral:rRNA from 1 species
GACGUAGGGUGCAAGCGUUGUCCGGAAUUAUUGGGCGUAAAGAGCUCGUAGGCGGUUUGUCGCGUCGGGAGUGAAAACUCAGGGCUUAACCCUGAGCCUGCUUCCGAUACGGGCAGACUAGAGGUAUGCAGGGGAGAACGGAAUUCCUGGUGUAGCGGUGAAAUGCGCAGAUAUCAGGAGGAACACCGGUGGCGAAGGCGGUUCUCCGGGCAUUACCUGACGCUGAGGAGCGAAAGUGUGGGGAGCGAACAGG